rnacentral:rRNA from 1 species
AAAUUGAAGAGUUUGAUCAUGGCUCAGAUUGAACGCUGGCGGCAGGCCUAACACAUGCAAGUCGAGCGGUAGCACAGAGAGCUUGCUCUCGGGUGACGAGCGGCGGACGGGUGAGUAAUGUCUGGGAAACUGCCUGAUGGAGGGGGAUAACUACUGGAAACGGUAGCUAAUACCGCAUAAUGUCGCAAGACCAAAGUGGGGGACCUUCUGGCCUCAUGCCAUCAGAUGUGCCCAGAUGGGAUUAGCUAGUAGGUGGGGUAACGGCUCACCUAGGCGACGAUCCCUAGCUGGUCUGAGAGGAUGACCAGCCACACUGGAACUGAGACACGGUCCAGACUCCUACGGGAGGCAGCAGUGGGGAAUAUUGCACAAUGGGCGCAAGCCUGAUGCAGCCAUGCCGCGUGUGUGAAGAAGGCCUUCGGGUUGUAAAGCACUUUCAGCGGGGAGGAAGGCGUUAAGGUUAAUAACCUUGGCGAUUGACGUUACCCGCAGA